CGAGGGAGGCCGGAUCCUGGGCUGUGUCCCGGCGCCCUGUGCUCCGGGGCCUCUGCUGCUGGAUUCGCGCUCCCGCCCCGCAGCCCCCU
rnacentral:pre_miRNA from 1 species